GAUGAACGCUAGCUACAGGCUUAACACAUGCAAGUCGAGGGGCAGCAUUUCAGUUUGCUUGCAAACUGGAGAUGGCGACCGGCGCACGGGUGAGUAACACGUAUCCAACCUGCCGAUAACUCGGGGAUAGCCUUUCGAAAGAAAGAUUAAUACCCGAUGGUAUAAUCAGACCGCAUGGUCUUGUUAUUAAAGAAUUUCGGUUAUCGAUGGGGAUGCGUUCCAUUAGGCAGUCGGUGAGGUAACGGCUCACCAAACCUUCGAUGGAUAGGGGUUCUGAGAGGAAGGUCCCCCACAUUGGAACUGAGACACGGUCCAAACUCCUACGGGAGGCAGCAGUGAGGAAUAUUGGUCAAUGGGCGCAGGCCUGAACCAGCCAAGUAGCGUGAAGGAUGACUGCCCUAUGGGUUGUAAACUUCUUUUAUAUGGGAAUAAAGUUUUCCACGUGUGGAAUUUUGUAUGUACCAUAUGAAUAAGGAUCGGCUAACUCCGUGCCAGCAGCCGCGGUAAUACGGAGGAUCCGAGCGUUAUCCGGAUUUAUUGGGUUUAAAGGGAGCGUAGGUGGACAGUUAAGUCAGUUGUGAAAGUUUGCGGCUCAACCGUAAAAUUGCAGUUGAUACUGGCUGUCUUGAGUACAGUAGAGGUGGGCGGAAUUCGUGGUGUAGCGGUGAAAUGCUUAGAUAUCACGAAGAACUCCGAUUGCGAAGGCAGCUCACUGGACUGCAACUGACACUGAUGCUCGAAAGUGUGGGUAUCAAACAGGAUUAGAUACCCUGGUAGUCCACACAGUAAACGAUGAAUACUCGCUGUUUGCGAUAUACAGUAAGCGGCCAAGCGAAAGCAUUAAGUAUUCCACCUGGGGAGUACGCCGGCAACGGUGAAACUCAAAGGAAUUGACGGGGGCCCGCACAAGCGGAGGAACAUGUGGUUUAAUUCGAUGAUACGCGAGGAACCUUACCCGGGCUUAAAUUGCAUUUGAAUAUAUUGGAAACAGUAUAGCCGUAAGGCAAAUGUGAAGGUGCUGCAUGGUUGUCGUCAGCUCGUGCCGUGAGGUGUCGGCUUAAGUGCCAUAACGAGCGCAACCCUUAUCUUUAGUUACUAACAGGUCAUGCUGAGGACUCUAGAGAGACUGCCGUCGUAAGAUGUGAGGAAGGUGGGGAUGACGUCAAAUCAGCACGGCCCUUACGUCCGGGGCUACACACGUGUUACAAUGGGGGGUACAGAAGGCAGCUACCUGGUGACAGGAUGCUAAUCCCAAAAGCCUCUCUCAGUUCGGAUCGAAGUCUGCAACCCGACUUCGUGAAGCUGGAUUCGCUAGUAAUCGCGCAUCAGCCAUGGCGCGGUGAAUACGUUCCCGGGCCU
rnacentral:rRNA from 1 species